rnacentral:rRNA from 1 species
UACGGAAGGCAGCAGUAGGGAAUCUUCCGCAAUGGACGAAAGUCUGACGGAGCAACGCCGCGUGAACGAUGAAGGCUUUCGGGUCGUAAAGUUCUGUUGUUAGGGAAGAACAAGUACCAGAGUAACUGCUGGUACCUUGACGGUACCUAACCAGAAAGCCACGGCUAACUACGUGCCAGCAGCCGCGGUAAUACGUAGGUGGCAAGCGUUGUCCGGAAUUAUUGGGCGUAAAGCGCGCGCAGGUGGUCCUUUAAGUCUGAUGUGAAAGCCCACGGCUCAACCGUGGAGGGUCAUUGGAAACUGGGGACUUGAGUGCAGAAGAGGAAAGUGGAAUUCCACGUGUAGCGGUGAAAUGCGUAGAGAUGUGGAGGAACACCAGUGGCGAAGGCGACUUUUCUGGUCUGUAACUGACACUGAGGCGCGAAAGCGUGGGGAGCGAACAGGGAUUAGAUACCCGU